rnacentral:rRNA from 1 species
CCUACGGGGGGCAGCAGUGGGGAAUAUUGGACAAUGGGGGGAACCCUGAUCCAGCCAUGCCGCGUGUGUGAAGAAGGCCCUCGGGUUGUAAAGCACUUUCAGUGAGGAAGAACGCCUGGUGGUUAAUACCCAUCAGGAAAGACAUCACUCACAGAAGAAGCACCGGCUAACUCCGUGUCAGCAGCCGCGGUAAUACGGAGGGUGCGAGCGUUAAUCGGAAUUACUGGGCGUAAAGCGCGCGUAGGUGGCUUGAUAAGCCGGUUGUGAAAGCCCCGGGCUCAACCUGGGAACGGCAUCCGGAACUGUCAAGCUAGAGUGCAGGAGAGGAAGGUAGAAUUCCCGGUGUAGCGGUGAAAUGCGUAGAGAUCGGGAGGAAUACCAGUGGCGAAGGCGGCCUUCUGGACUGACACUGACACUGAGGUGCGAAAGCGUGGGUAGCAAACAGGAUUAGAUACCCCUGUAGUC